rnacentral:rRNA from 2 species
GGCCCCCUGUAAUGUGGAGAUAGGGGGUCUGGCCUGCCCGGUGACAUUGUGUUAAACGGCCGCGGUAUCCUAACCGUGCAAAGGUAGCAUAAUCAUUUGCCUAUUAAUUGUAGGCUGGUAUGAAUGGCUUGACGAGGAUGAAGCUGUCUCUUUGUAAUUAUAUGGAAAUUAUUUUUUAGGUGAAGAAACCUAAAUGUGGCUGAGGGACGAUAAGACCCCAUCGAGCUUUAGUAGAAUUUUAGAAUAUGUAGGCACAGUGUGGAAUCUGUAGUGUUUAGGUGAAUCUUUGGUUGGGGCGACCGAGGAGUAGAAAUAACCUCCUGUUAUGUUUUUUAGCUUAUUGGUGAGCGAUCUGGCUAAUUAUGUAGAUAAGAAGAAUAAGUUACCGUGGGGAUAACAGCGUAAUUCUCUUGGAGAGUUCUUAUUGAAAAGAGGGUUUGCGACCUCGAUGUUGGACUAAGGUUUCCUGGGGGUGCAGAAGCUUUCGAGGGUUAGUCUGUUCGACUAUUAAAGCCUUACA